rnacentral:rRNA from 1 species
UACGAGUGCUCCAAGCGUUAUCCGGAAUCAUUGGGCGUAAAGGGUGUGUAGGCGGUUUUGUUAGUCUUCCGUCAAAUUCUUCGGCUUAACCGGGGGUCCGCAGAGGAAACGGCAAAACUAGAGGAUGCGAGAGGUGAAUGGAACUCAUGGAGUAGGGGUGAAAUCCGUUGAUAUCAUGGGGAACACCAAAUGCGAAGGCAGUUCACUGGCGCACUCCUGACGCUGAGACACGAAAGCGUAGGUAGCGAAUGGG